rnacentral:rRNA from 1 species
GACAGAGGGUGCAAACGCUGUUCGGAAUUACUGGGCGUAAAGCGCGUGUAGGCUGCUCGGAAAGUCGGAUGUGAAAGCCCUGGGCUUAACCUAGGAAGUGCAUUCGAAACUUCUGAGCUGGAGUUCUGGAGAGGAAGGCGGAAUUCUCGGUGUAGAGGUGAAAUUCGUAGAUAUCGAGAGGAACACCGGUGGCGAAGGCGGCCUUCUGGACAGUGACGUGACGCUGAGACGCGAAAGCGUGGGGAGCAAACAGGG